rnacentral:rRNA from 1 species
AUUGAACGCUGGCGGCAGGCCUAACACAUGCAAGUCGAACGGUAACAGGAAGCAGCUUGCUGCUUCGCUGACGAGUGGCGGACGGGUGAGUAAUGUCUGGGAAGCUGCCUGAUGGAGGGGGAUAACUACUGGAAACGGUAGCUAAUACCGCAUAAUGUCGCAAGACCAAAGAGGGGGACCUUCGGGUCUCUUGCCAUCGGAUGUGCCCAGAUGGGAUUAGCUUGUUGGUGGGGUAACGGCUCACCAAGGCGACGAUCCCUAGCUGGUCUGAGAGGAUGACCAGCCACACUGGAACUGAGACACGGUCCAGACUCCUACGGGAGGCAGCAGUGGGGAAUAUUGCACAAUGGGCGCAAGCCUGAUGCAGCCAUGCCGCGUGUAUGAAGAAGGCCUUCGGGUUGUAAAGUACUUUCAGCGGGGAGGAAGGGAGUAAAGUUAAUACCUUUGCUCAUUGACGUUACCCGCAGAAGAAGCACCGGCUAACUCCGUG